UCCUCAUCGCCUGAUACUUGCUUCAACCUGAGCUUUUGACAAGGUGAGCAAAGUUUCAGGUGUGUGGGUGG
rfam:Zootermopsis nevadensis contig7496, whole genome shotgun sequence.